CCUACGGGCGGCAGCAGUGGGGAAUAUUGGACAAUGGGCGAAAGCCUGAUCCAGCCAUGCCGCGUGUGUGAAGAAGGCCUUCGGGUUGUAAAGCACUUUCAGUGGGGAAGAAAGCCUUGGGGCUAAUACCCUCGAGGAAGGACAUCACCCACAGAAGAAGCACCGGCUAACUCCGUGCCAGCAGCCGCGGUAAUACAGGAGGGUGCGAGCGUUAAUCGGAAUUACUGGGCGUAAAGCGCGCGUAGGCGGUCUGAUAAGCCGGUUGUGAAAGCCCCGGGCUCAACCUGGGAACGGCAUCCGGAACUGUCAGGCUAGAGUGCAGGAGAGGAAGGUAGAAUUCCCGGUGUAGCGGUGAAAUGCGUAGAGAUCGGGAGGAAUACCAGUGGCGAAGGCGGCCUUCUGGACUGACACUGACGCUGAGGUGCGAAAGCGUGGGUAGCAAACAGGAUUAGAUACCCUAGUAGUC
rnacentral:rRNA from 1 species